AACGUCUCAGUUCGGAUUGUAGUCUGCAACUCGACUACAUGAAGCUGGAANCGCUAGUAAUCGCAGAUCAGAAUGCUGCGGUGAAUACGUUCCCGGGUCUUGUACACACCGCCCGUCACACCAUGGGAGUCGGAAAUGCCCGAAGUCAGUGACCUAACCGAAAGGGAGGAGCUGCCGAAGGUGGAGCCGGUAACUGGGGUGAAGUCGUAACAAGGUAAC
rnacentral:rRNA from 1 species